rnacentral:rRNA from 1 species
GAUGAACGCUGGCGGCGUGCCUAAUACAUGCGAGUCGAGCGAACAGACGAGGAGCUUGCUCCUCUGACGUUAGCGGCGGACGGGUGAGUAACACGUGGACAACCUACCUAUAAGACUGGGAUAACUUCGGGAAACCGGAGCUAAUACCGGAUAAUAUAUUGAACCGCAUGGUUCAAUAGUGAAAGACGGUUUUGCUGUCACUUAUAGAUGGAUCCGCGCCGCAUUAGCUAGUUGGUAAGGUAACGGCUUACCAAGGCAACGAUGCGUAGCCGACCUGAGAGGGUGAUCGGCCACACUGGAACUGAGACACGGUCCAGACUCCUACGGGAGGCAGCAGUAGGGAAUCUUCCGCAAUGGGCGAAAGCCUGACGGAGCAACGCCGCGUGAGUGAUGAAGGUCUUCGGAUCGUAAAACUCUGUUAUUAGGGAAGAACAAAUGUGUAAGUAACUAUGCACGUCUUGACGGUACCUAAUCAGAAAGCCACGGCUAACUACGUG